AUGUCAGAGGAAUGUGAUGGGUCAGACUGCAACAAACAGGAUGGAAGCCCAGCAGGAAAUAGUGCAGAGUCACCAGAACUUCCCCAUCAGGGCUAUGUUUAUUCCUCAUCUAUGAAUCAGGAUCUUCAAAGUUUUUCAAAUAAUGGCAUUCUUUCAAACCAUGCCAGUUUAGCAUCACAGAAUAUCCUGAGUUGGAAGGGAUCCACAAGAAUCAUCAAUUUGAUGACCAGUUUUCUUCACUGCUUGUGCCUGUGUGUACACAUGUAUACAGACAGAGACAGAAGCAUAAUGCAUCAAAGCAGCAAAAUUAUUCAAUGUCAUGCUCAAAAAGGGUCAGUGUCCUGUAGGUGCCAUGCAAAAGUUAUUUAA
ensembl:lncRNA